CCUACGGGAGGCAGCAGUAGGGAAUAUUGCUCAAUGGGGGAAACCCUGAAGCAGCAACGCCGCGUGGAGGAUGAAGGUUUUCGGAUUGUAAACUACUUUUGUUAGGGAAGAUAAUGACGGUAUCUAACGAAUAAGCACCGGCUAACUCCGUGCCAGCAGCCGCGGUAAUACGGAGGGUGCAAGCGUUACUCGGAAUCACUGGGCGUAAAGAGCGCGUAGGCGGGAUAGCAAGUCAGAUGUGAAAUCCUAUGGCUUAACCAUAGAACUGCAUUUGAAACUGUUAUUCUAGAGUAUGGGAGAGGUAGGUGGAAUUCUUGGUGUAGCGGUAAAAUCCGUAGAGAUUAAGAGGAAUACUCAUUGCGAAGGCGACCUACUAGAACAUAACUGACGCUGAUGCGCGAAAGCGUGGGGAGCAAACAGGAUUAGAUACCCUUGUAGUC
rnacentral:rRNA from 1 species